rnacentral:tRNA from 1 species
CGGCUCGUCGGUGAGGUUGACGGCCUUGCCCGCGCUCGGGCCGCCGGUGUUCGUCGGCGCCGGGCCGACCGCGCAGGC